AUGCAUGCAUCGAUCGUACUAGGAGUAUCACCGGCUACAGCCCGGCCGGUCGCAUCGAUCGAUUUCCUGUCGGCGUCGCGCACACACAGUGUCGACGCAAUCAUACGGAGUUAUUACAAGAUGAAACGCAAGCAAAACUUUCUCAACUGCAAGGGUACAACCAGGUCGCAGGAAGAAGAAGAUAAUUUGGGACAUGGGAACAACAAGGACCACGAGCUCCGGCCUCUUCAUGUCUCCAAGCCCUUUUUCUCCCCGACGGAAGCUUCAGAAGCAAGCCAGGGUCGGGUUGUUCCUUUCUCCAGCUUGGAGGAAAGGAUGUCACGUAAUCAAGUUUGGUAUCCCUUUUACUGCUAUCAUUGUGCAGCAUCCACCGAAUCUAGCUAUAUGGAUAUGAUAAACAACAGGCACGCCGCAAUAAACAUACUUCUCAAGCACUUUAUCAUGUUCCAAUCAACCACAUUUCACCAUAUCCACCACCGAUCGACGCUCUUACCUGCAACAGCAGAGUUCUUACUCCCUCCUUCCGAAAAACUUAUCAUCAAAAUGGAUAAAAAUAGAUAUAUCUAG
rnacentral:rRNA from 1 species